rnacentral:sRNA from 1 species
GCCUAGCCCAGAUAGAAGUGGAAAUCCUUUUUAGCAAAAGGUACUUUUGCUAAAAAGAUUGGAACGGAUAGCUGGUUAAAGC